UCAUGUUAUUCUUUAAUAGUGUAUUAACAUCAAUACAUUUUCAUGUUUAAGAUUGUAUAAAACACACAAAUAGAAUAUAUAAACUUAAUAUUAGUGUAAUUUUCAUUAAAAUUAUGAAUAGAAAUGAUAUUUAUAAAAUUUUAGAUCAAAUAAAUAAAUAAAAAUAUUAUUAAAGUUAAAAUAAAAAUAAAAAAUAAAAAAAUAGAUAAAGUGGCUAGACAGUCAUUUAGACGGUGUAGAUGGAAAAAAUCAGAUAUCCAAUUUUUUAAACCGAUUUGGUAUAAAUCGGAGAGAAAGAGUGAUGCGUAACGGCUAGGCGGCCUAUUUUUAGAACAGGGGAAAAUAUCAAACAUGUAGGGGGAGGUAUAAAUAUUCUUUCGUUUCUUCCAUAUCAACCUUGUCCCCCAUUAGAAUCUUAUUGACAUUAUCUGAUCGCGUCCUGGC
rnacentral:lncRNA from 1 species